AGUGAACGCUGGCGGUAGGCCUAACACAUGCAAGUCGAACGGCAGCACAGGAGAGCUUGCUCUCUGGGUGGCGAGUGGCGGACGGGUGAGGAAUACAUCGGAAUCUACUCUGUCGUGGGGGAUAACGUAGGGAAACUUACGCUAAUACCGCAUACGACCUACGGGUGAAAGCAGGGGACCUUCGGGCCUUGCGCGAUUGAAUGAGCCGAUGUCGGAUUAGCUAGUUCGCGGGGUAAAGGCCCACCAAGGCGACGAUCCGUAGCUGGUCUGAGAGGAUGAUCAGCCAAACUGGAACAGAGACACGGUCCAGACUCCUACGGGAGGCAGCAGUGGGGAAUAUUGGACAAUGGGCGCAAGCCUGAUCCAGCCAUACCGCGUGGGUGAAGAAGGCCUUCGGGUUGUAAAGCCCUUUUGUUGGGAAAGAAAUCCAGCUGGCUAAUACCCGGUUGGGAUGACGGUACCCAAAGAAUAAGCACCGGCUAACUUCGUGCCAGCCGCCGCCGUAA
rnacentral:rRNA from 1 species